rnacentral:rRNA from 1 species
GAGUUUGAUCCUGGCUCAGGAUGAACGCUGGCGGCGUGCUUAACACAUGCAAGUCGAACGGGAAUUACUUUAUUGAAACUUCGGUCGAUUUAAUUUAAUUCUAGUGGCGGACGGGUGAGUAACGCGUGGGUAACCUGCCUUAUACAGGGGGAUAACAGUCAGAAAUGGCUGCUAAUACCGCAUAAGCGCACAGAGCUGCAUGGCUCAGUGUGAAAAACUCCGGUGGUAUAAGAUGGACCCGCGUUGGAUUAGCUGGUUGGUGGGGUAACGGCCCACCAAGGCGACGAUCCGUAGCCGGCCUGAGAGGGCGACCGGCCACAUUGGGACUGAGACACGGCCCAGACUCCUACGGGAGGCAGCAGUGGGGAAUAUUGCACAAUGGGGGAAACCCUGAUGCAGCGACGCCGCGUGAAGGAAGAAGUAUCUCGGUAUGUAAACUCCUGUCGUUAGGGACGAUAAUGACGGUACCUAACAAGAAAGCACCGGCUAACUACGUGCCAGCCGCCGCGGUAAUUC